GACGAACGCUGGCGGCGUGCCUAAUACAUGCAAGUCGAACGCUUCUUUCCUCCCGAGUGCUUGCACUCAAUUGGAAAGAGGAGUGGCGGACGGGUGAGUAACACGUGGGUAACCUACCCAUCAGAGGGGGAUAACACUUGGAACCAGGUGCUAAUACCGCAUAACAGUUUAUGCCGCAUGGCAUAAGAGUGAAAGGCGCUUUCGGGUGUCGCUGAUGGAUGGACCCGCGGUGCAUUAGCUAGUUGGUGAGGUAACGGCUCACCAAGGCCACGAUGCAUAGCCGACCUGAGAGGGUGAUCGGCCACACUGGGACUGAGACACGGCCCAGACUCCUACGGGAGGCAGCAGUAGGGAAUCUUCGGCAAUGGACGAAAGUCUGACCGAGCAACGCCGCGUGAGUGAAGAAGGUUUUCGGAUCGUAAAACUCUGUUGUUAGAGAAGAACAAGGACGUUAGUAACUGAACGUCCCCUGACGGUAUCUAACCAGAAAGCCACGGCUAACUACGUG
rnacentral:rRNA from 1 species